UUUGACCUAGGCUGGGAUUGGUUAUUUUAAAGGGAAGAUACAUCAGGGUAGGAGGAGAUCUGGUUGUAUAAAAAGGAUGUAAAACAUAAUGUGAGGAAGCUCUCUGUGUCUUUAUGGUACUGGAGACCUCCCGUAGGCCUACGUACAUGAAAAGAAUUAUUGAUUGAAGAGAAUAAAAAGGUUAUUAGAAGAAAUCAUAAUUUCUAGUCUUUAUUCUUACAUCGCCGACUCACCCACCAAACCUAAGAAGGUUUUCCUCCACAAAAUUUGUUGAGCCAGCCAGGAGUCCAACAACCUCGAGGGAGGCACGCAAGGGAACCGACGGAGUGCAGUGUUUAUCCUUCUAGUGACCGGUCAACUUUAGUAAAAGGCUAAAGAAGCACAGGGGCCACCAGCAGAAACCCCUGAUCUUCCAGUUAAUCCAGGUGAUUGGAUUUACAUGAAGAAUUUCAAAAGGAAGUGGAAACAGCCAAGACAAGUAGGACCUUACCAGGUGAUCCUCGCCACUCCAACAGCAGUUAAGGUAAAGGGGAUUGGACCAUGGGUACACCUAAACCACUGUCGCAGAGCAAAAGAGUCAGAAGCCAAAAGAACCAUAGAAAAAGAAUAAAAGAAUGCCAGUUUCUCUGGGUACUUUCUAUUCUUCUUUUUGUAAACACUCUCCUAAUAGCCAUAAGCAGCAGCAAAACAGACCCUAGUAAGAUUGAAAAGUCAUACCAUGACCUCACCAUAGAUAAGGGCACUGUUACAUCAAUAACCCUGACACCUGGAGAAGUAAUACUACUUAAAAUGACCUUAGUUGUGAAUGACAUAGGUGGAGGAAAGGCAGAAGUGACAGUAGGAUUAAGAAAGUUGUUGGGAGGCCUAGAGGAUGUGAGUAAUGACGGAAAGACGAACCGAAAGAACGGGGAAAAACAACAAAUUAUAGUACCAGGUACAAACAGUGAUACUUCUGAUUUAUACUACUCACAACAAUUAUAUCUGAAAAAUCUACAAUACAUGCAUUGACUGACACAUGAAGAUAGACAUCCACACUCACAGACUGUUAUGACUGAGUGCUUUUGCGUAAUUUUAUGUGUUGUUCCCCUCCCUGCCUAAGGGUGGGGCUGGUCACCUUGUUCUGUGUGUUCCUUAGUAUAUCAAGUUGCAGGUGGUGAUUGGUGAUUGGACGAGAGACUGAUGGUAUCUACUCUAAAAAGGCACCUGCUGAGAUCAGAAGCAGACCGUCUUUUCCUGAUUUCCAACCGGAGUGGGCUGUGCUGUUGUCUACGGAUAGCUGACUGUUAAUGUACUGAUCUCUGUGGUAUACAAUGUAAACAUCUUCUGAAAAUAGCAGUCCUGGUAGCUGUAGGGGUGAGAAGCCUGUUUUCUUUUUACAUUUUUCUCUUGGUUAUGUUAGGGAGGUAGGUAAGAUAUCUGUAUAUCAUUUAUUUCCUUUUGAGAAAGAUAGGUAAGAUAAUUGCUAAUAUUAUGUUUUGUCUAUUGUUUUGACCAUGCUCUCCCCGACGCUUAUUCUACCAUGGUUAAUAAUUAAAUCAAUUCUACCUCCGGCAAGAAGAAGUAUAACUUGCUUAUAAUGAAUACACUUAUAUCCAUGCUUAAUGUUUAUGUGAGACCAAAUGGUCUCAGAGGGGGGAAUGUGGAAGUGUGCUUCUCCUUCAUUCUUUUAAUGUUUUUACAUUUCUUCUUAUUAAAGAUUGUACUGAUAAAGAAUAUAUUUAAAUGUAUGUGAUUAUGGGAUGAUCACUGAAGAACAGUAGGUAUUCUGUGUUAUGUCUAAGAAUUUGUAACUAAGGAAAGUGGCCUCCUUGUACACUGAUGCAUACUACCUAGAGAAUCUUUGAACCCCAGUUGCAGGAGGAAAAUUUGUAAACAUUUACUUAGUGGAAUUUUUUAAGUAACUUCUGUUGGGAAAUAGUCUUGUGCAGAAGACCUUUGAGUUGCAAGAGAAGAGAAAGUAUACUGACCUAGAAAGAACUGAUUUGCUAUAUCUAGUAAAUGUAUAGAUUAUGUUCUAUUAAAAUAAAUGAAUGAAAAUCAAUGUAAUAACAGCAACGGUAAUAAUGUAAACAUAGUUUGUUAGAACAUGGUGGUGUGUAUAUGAGUAAAUAUUUCAUUUGGAUUA